UCUGUUUGUCCAAAUUGUCUGUGGUUAUUACAACACUGCUUGUUUUCUCUACAAAUUCCUUGCACGCUUUUUUUUUUCUUUUUUUUUUUUGGAUUCUUCAUCAGGGUAGCUUUGCGUGUGUAUAGUUGCUCAAGUUUGUGUUUUCAUUUCAGCCCUGCUCCCUCCAUCCUGCCUGCGCAGGACUGCUGAUGUGAAGCAUGAAGGAUCAGCUGGAUUCAGCUGAAGGAGGAAAUGUUGGCUCCUCUACUCCUGAUAACAAGAGGAACAGUGACCACCUUUUAUCAGAAGCGCAGGCUCGUGUUCUUGCCAUCUGGAAUGUGUGCAGCCAGACAGACCCGCCUUUUUUCAAGCUGAGUUGAGCGGUCGCUGCUCUGGAGAACUUGCUUCUUGCACAGCUGCCACAGACAGACUGCAGGCACCCGGUCAACCAGAGGAGGUCGCAAUGGAAACCCUGCCGACGGACACCCUCCCUCCCAGGACCAUGCGAUGUUCAGUCGUUCAUCAUCUUCACAGGGCUCAAAGAUGCAGUCGGCACUGGCACAGUCACGGUUAGAUUCCAGAGUGUAGGGUACAUUACCACACCUCACUCUAGGACAGGGAUGGUCAAAUCUGGCCCUCGAGGCCAGUAGUACUGCUGGUUUUCAUGCUUCUCCUCUGAUCAGGACUGAUUUAUCUAUGACCAGAUCUAUGAGUAGCCAUGGACCCAGCAGUAUAAGGAAAAUAGGCCGGUUUAGUACACCUGUAGAAUUACAGUAUUCCAGGCUUACAGACACAAAGAAACAGACAUCACUCAAGAAAAUCAGUAUGUUUAUAGGUACUUAGGCACUAAUCUUUCUGUUAUGGGAAAAUGCUUACAGUCCAAUGAUACAUUAGGCACACUUGAUUUUAUUAAUUAGCAGCUCAACAAGAUCUCUAACUGUUGAAUGACGUGUGUUUUGUUAGGGUUGGAGUGAAGACCUACAUGAUGGUAGAUCUCCAGGAACAGGAUUGGGUCAACCCUGCUCUGGCUACUCAGUGGCAUCGAUCAAACAAUUUCCUAUCAGGCCUGUUGUAUUGGGCAGACCAAAGUGAAGAUGUCCAUUAUAAAGGUAAGUUUGCGGUUACCUCUUUUGUCAGUGCAGACUGUAACAGAGCUGUAUUCAUGAUUUUGUGAAAUACACCAGACAAAUGGAUCAGCUGAUUAACCAUCCACUGGCUUUCUGUUCUCUGUUCCAGCUCAGAUAUUCAUCGAUUAAAACAGCAUUUCCCAACCCAAUUCUUUAAAAAAGUAAAAGUUAUAUAUCCAGACAUAGCGAUGAAGAGAUACUGAAUACUUACUAUUUUCUUUUAGGUUCAGUUCUUUUAGGUUAAGUCUACUUUUUAAAACUUUUUUUUACAGUCCCUAUAUAGCAAAAUGAAAAAAGUUUACAUUUUUAUUUCAUGAGCCAUCUCAUACAAAACCACUUAUUAAUAAUUAUUUAUAGGUAUUAAUAAUUAAUGUUGUCUGCAGUGAUAUUGUUGGUACUGUUGAGUUUUUGGUUUGGGUUUGGAAUGUCUGUAUAGAUUAGUUACGUGUGUGUGUGUGUGUGUGUGUGUGAAUAAAAAAAUAAUAAAAAUGUUGAUCACAAAAAAGUAAAAGUUAAAAACUUAAAUUAACAAAUCCCCAUUCAGAAAAGCCAAAAUAAAUGCAAUUAAAAUGCAUAUCACUUAAUUAAAACCCUGACAGAUCAUUUAGGCCUACCGUUGACAUGCCACAUCAAUGUCAUUACGUUGUUCACUUUUGAGAGUGGUGUGCUGUGAGAUCUCUCCCUCAGCUUCAAAAGGGAUACCUCAUGCAGAAAUGCAGCUGUAUUUUUUACAGGGGCAGAGGGAGAGAGAGAAAAUGUUGAGGUUUCAUUUUUGUUUCCCUGCUUCUUCACCAGAAACAAACUGCCACAGAACGGGCAGCUUCCUAAGCAUUACUUAAGCCAGGAGUAAUGCAUGAUGUAACGUUAAGGUGGGGCCUUAUUCCUCAGCCAUUUCCUCCUUGGUUUGCUCAUUUUAUAGGGACUUAGCUUUUUCAAAAAUGAGGUGGGGUCGUAUUUCUACUGAAUAUUUUACUAUUCGUUGGAAAUAUACAUUUUAAACCUCUGCUUUAAUGUGUUCAUUCCUUCAUUCCUAAGGGUUUUUCUUUCAUCUAGAGGUGCAAUAAUAAAAAAAAUAUAGAGACAUUUUGUACUGCCACAAGCAACUGACGUCACUGCAAAGUCCCUUAGCAAGUUCUCUCCAAAGCCAAAAAUAAAAAUCAAAAAUAUGGAAGAAUACUUUUAAUACAGUUUCUAUGUUAUUAUUAAUACGAGAGGUGAUGGAAAUGCAACUCCUGUGAAGGAAGAAGGAAUGGGGGAUGAACUCAGUCACGGUGAAGUCAAUCAAUCUGAAUUAUUCAAUUUGCCAUUGAUCUGAUUUGCAGAAGUUUGGCUUGGAGGGAAGAAGGCUCAUGGUGAACUCAUAUUUUUUUAACAGUGAUGGAACAGAUUGAAUGCUUUUGCAGAUGAAUCUCUCCAACACACACACACACACACACACACACACACACAGUAGUUCAGUUGUAGGGUUUCUCAGCAUCAGUGAGUCUCAACAUGGUGCCUAAAUCAGGUGCAGUUUCUAGUCAAGUCAAAUUGCAUUUGCAAUGCAGUGCAGAUAUAUUUGUCAAUUGCAGUGAUAUGCAAUUUUAUGCAUUUACAAAUAUUUUGAGUAGAUCAGUUUGACCUUUUAGAUACCUUAGGGCAAGGCUGCCCAGCCGUGCUCCAGUAGGUUCUACUAUCCAGGAGGUUUUCACUCCAGCCCUAACAAAACACACCCAAUUCAACAGCUAGAGAUCUUGUUGAGCUGUUAAAUGUCAUAGAAUCCGGAGUGCCAAAUAAGGGCUGAAAUCAAAACCUACACAGCAUCAGAUCUCCAAGCACAGAGUUGGGCAAUGCUGUCUUAGAGUUUUUGGUAUGGAUUAAUGUAUCAAUGGAAAAAAUGUAAAAUGUUUCCCAAAACAGAAAAAUUAAAAAGCCUUUAAUCUGUGCCUAUAAACAAACCGUUUUUCUUGA